rnacentral:rRNA from 1 species
CUACGGGCCGCAGCAGUGGGGAAUAUUGCACAAUGGGCGCAAGCCUGAUGCAGCCAUGCCGCGUGUAUGAAGAAGGCCUUCGGGUUGUAAAGUACUUUCAGCGGGGAGGAAGGGAGUAAAGUUAAUACCUUUGCUCAUUGACGUUACCCGCAGAAGAAGCACCGGCUAACUCCGUGCCAGCAGCCGCGGUAAUACGGAGGGUGCAAGCGUUAAUCGGAAUUACUGGGCGUAAAGCGCACGCAGGCGGUUUGUUAAGUCAGAUGUGAAAUCCCCGGGCUCAACCUGGGAACUGCAUCUGAUACUGGCAAGCUUGAGUCUCAUAGAGGGGGGUAGAAUUCCAGGUGUAGCGGUGAAAUGCGUAGAGAUCUGGAGGAAUACCGGUGGCGAAGGCGGCCCCCUGGACGAAGACUGACGCUCAGGUGCGAAAGCGAGGGGAGCAAACAGGAUUAGAUACCCCAGUAGUC